UUGACUGCAGCCAAAAUGGACAGUCGGCGUUGCUGCAGCGGACGGGUAGUGUUGACAGGCUGAGGAGCGGCUCGUGUCUCUACUGGGGAGAAGUUGGACGACAGUGUUGAGGAGUCGGAUCAGGAUCUACAGCCGGAACAUGGAAGCUUCACUGGACACCUGUGGACAGAGAACCGUCCAAUCCCUGCUGCUGCUGUAUCUCCUGGUGGUGAAGGCGGCAGCCGACUGUCCUAAACCUCAGGGAAGAGAAAAUAUUGUCCUAACCAAUAAAGCUCUUCUAAUGAAUGACUUCCCAGAGGGCGUUGAGGUGACUUUAGAGUGCGCUAAUGGAUAUGAUAGAGAAAGUGGCUCUGGGACUAUAACCUGCAUUGAUGAGAAGUGGACUGAACCUGAUCUCACCUGCAAAAAAAAGGACUGUGGUCCCCCGCAACCUCAGCCAAAUAUGAGCUUUAAUAUUAGUGCAGGUACCUUGUUUGGUGCUGUAAUAAAAGCCAUUUGUGAUAAAGGCUACAAGAUUACCGGCCCAGCCUACAAACAGUGCUAUCCUACAGGGUGGAGUGGAAGACCCAAGUGUAACAUUGUAACAUGCGCUAAACCUCCUGAAGUGACCAAUGGCAGAAUCUCAUGGGAUGCUCAAGAUUUGCCAAAAUAUGGAGAAAUCAUACAGUACACCUGUGAUGAAGGAUACACCCUCAUUGGGGAAGAUAGCAUUGUGUGCAGUGCAACUGGUAAAUAUGAUUCUCAGCCUCCAGAAUGCAAAGGUGUGACAGCAGAAGAUAGAAGUACAACAGCAUCUCCAGCACAAGAAGCAUCCACGUCUGCAGAUUCAUCAGUCACACCUACAGCUUCCACAACAGCAGCUGUCUCACCUUCAGUACGAGGUCGCACAAACAUUUUGACAGCCGUGGAUACUACAGCCAGUGUAACGUCCAGUACAUCAUCUCCAGUUCCAGGGAACCAUGAUGAGGCUGUAGAUGUUAACCAGGACUUUGGAUAUUUACCUGUGAUAAUCAGUGUAAUAGUCGUUUCAUUAGUUGUAUGUAUAGUUGUGUUCUUUAUACACAAGUUUCUACUGAGGAGAAAAGGAUUCCUUAUUUGAUGACACUAUAGCUCAUAUGACACCAGAGAAGACCUGAAGCCGGAGUUAUUACAGUUCCAAAAUCUUUAGAUUUCCUGCCUCACUCAGCUCUGCAAAUGGAACAGCGCCUAUCUGUUAAAGAGCAUCUGUGAUCCCAGAAAGACGUGCCAAUAAACUGUAGCAGCGCCUCUCUGAGUCGAUGGAACAAAAAGAGAACUCACUUUCAAUAUUGUUGCACUUCAAAUGGCAGAUAAUCAAACCUGCUGUAAAUUAUCAUCAUUUAAGGGGAAAUAUCAAGCUCCUGUGAUUCAAAGCACUUUUUGUAAUUAUGUUUUUAUCGACACAUUAUUUUAACACAAAAUUGUCAAUAUUUUAUUCCACUUUAGUAUUAUUGUUUGUGUGUUAUUUAUGCUGAAAACUGGAGUAAACGCUUUGCCUUCUUGUGUUACAAGUACUGCAGUAUUGUUUUUACAGUAUUUUAGUUGAUAAAUCUUGUGGCCAAAAGUUUACAUGUUGUUAAUGGGCUGUUUUAUUAGGACAGAACUAUAACAUAAGUGAUUCAAGAGGCAUACAAUGUGGUUAAUUCAGUUUGCAGACUGAAGUGGUCUCUGAUAAAGAUACAAUCAGUUACA